CCCCCCCCCCCCCCCAAAUUACAAUUUGAAGAGAGAGAAAAUACUUGUGUGCUUCUUCUUCGGGAACCCAAAAUCUCACAAUAUUGUACCAAUCAUCACCUGCAAAUAACUAUUACAAGAUGUCUUUGCAUCUUGCUAAUCUGUCUCCUCGAAUGCGCAAGGAUGAGUUGGAACGUAUUUUCAAGAGCUUUGGCCGAUGCACUGUGCAACUGAAAGAUGGAUAUGGGUUUGCAGUGUAUGACUUCCGUGGGGAUGCUGAGAAGGCUUUAAGGACUCUGAAGGGCAGGAAGAUUUGUGGCGAGUCAAUAUAUCUUUCGUGGUCAAACAAACAGCCUAAGCCAUUGCAAAGAGCUGCCAGAUCUCAUGAUGUGCGAUAUGGAAUACAUUCUGACCAAGGUGAUGAUUUUGUUGGUCGUAGAGGUUACUUAAUGAGUGACAAAAAACAACCUGAUAAAGGUCGAGAAAGGCACAAGUCUCCUGAGAUACAUGAUGAUAGGCACAGGUUUAAUCUUAAUGAUGCAGGACGUAUACAUUAUGAUCAAAGGGAAGUAGUUUUGGAAGAAGGUGGUCGUGUUGUAAUUAAACCCAAUCAGAUAGAUGAUGGAAGGUGGGGAGAGCAAGUUGAUAAUCUUCGAAAUGAUACUGGUUAUGAUGCACAGAGGGGAUUUGAUCGUUAUGACCCUGGUCGUGUUGAUGAAAAAGGUGAAGAAUAUGAUAAUCAUGGUUUGGAUCAUUUUGCUGGUUCACAUUCUGUAAGGACAUCACCGGACAAGAACAGGAGGGUACAUCCUGAUGGAAAAAGAGGCCAGCAAACUUGUUUUAAAUGUGGAGCUGUUGGUCACAAGAUGCGUGAUUGUUCAUCAAAAGAGGCUUUGCAAGAGAAGAACACGUACCACCCAUAUCAUAGGCAUGAUGUAAAAGCUAAGAAUGAAGUUGAAAGGGCACAGAUUAGAUCUGGGGGACGGUUGCAGUCUUGUUGUCGGAAUUCGAAAUCUGCAAGACAACCUGACAUUCACGGGAAAAUAUCUCAUUCAGAAAAGGAUGGAGUUAAACACUCUCCAGUAGAAAAUGAAUCUGGGUGGGAUAAGAGAAAGAACAAUAAUAGAGAUAGACAAAGGGAGAGUGAUGAUCAAAUUGUAGAGUCGCAUGAUGAUAAGAAAAAGAGGGUGUCUGCUUUGUCUCAUCUUCAUUCUGAUUGUGCAUCUCCUGAGUUGGGCAGAUAUUCAAGACCGUCAAAGCCUUUGGGGGGUUUGAGCUCUCAUUUUAAAAAUGGAUCACCUAGAUCACAUUCCCUUUCUGCUAGAUCCAGGUCCUAUUCAAGAUCGCGCAGAUCCAGGUCCCAUUCAAGAUCGCACAGAUCCAGGUCCAAUUCAAGAUCACGAAGAUCCAGGUCUAAUUCAAAACGGUGCAGAUCCAGGUCCAAUAUAAGAUUGCAUAGAUCCAGGUCUAGAAGUAUUAAGAUCAAGUCUAGGUCUAGGUCAAGGUCAAGAUCACCAUCCUCUUCCCUGUCUAUCUCUAUUGGUCGGUCUUUACUCUCCUCUCCAAACAAGGCAGAGGGUAAUUUGAAUGCAUAUUCUGAAGGUGGACCUAGUCCUCUGUCCAGGGACGCGCAUACCGAAGUGAGGCAACAUGACGAACCUGAAAUAUGUGAGGAAAACCUGUCCAUUGCUAACAAAGCAGAGAGAAGUUUGAGUAGAUGUAUGGAUAAUCUUACAAGUUAUCAAAUCAUGGAUGUUCCAAUAGAGAGGAGGGAAUCCGAACAUAACUCAGAUAUUAUGACUUCUACAAAGCAUACAGAGGAAAGCUUGAAUGGUUUUGGGGAAGAUGAUCAGAUUCCACAAUAUCAGGACAUUCAGGAGGCAAUGCUUGAGGAGAAUCAGUGGUUAGAACCUCAGCAGAAUUUUGAACCUCCACAAGCAGAUGCGCCUCUAGGAAGCAAAUGCAUUUCUACUUCUGAAAAGAUGAUAGAUGGCAUGAAGCUGGAUAAAGUACUUACUGAUACUGAUAGUGACUCCACUGUCCCUCAUGUAUUAUGUGACCUCGAGGCUCCUAGCUCAUCUUUGCUUGAGAAGGGUGACGGUGAAUAUGCUGCUGUAAACAUCUCAGCUGCAGAACUAAAAGAAACCGAGGAACUUGAAAAUGCCAAUGUAGAAACGACUAAAUCUUUGGAACCAAUUAAUGAUACCUCAGAUCUGGAAGCUUCGCCUAAAUCGCAUGUUGGCAGCCGUUUAAGCAUAUCUGCAGAGGAAUUGUCCAGGGUUAUGAAAUGCUAUGAUUUGAAACAUCCAGAAGAGAAUGAACAGCACCUUGAUGUUGGAGAUUACUUUGGUUCUUCCCGACUAUGGCCUUGGGAGAUAAUUUAUUACCGGAGACUGAAAAAGGGUCUUAUCUCAAUGGAAAACUAUGCUAGGCGAGUAGCACAAAAUGAAGCAUUCCACAUAACUGAUAAAUAUAUUAGAAGUAGUAGUGGUUGGGAGUAAUUGCUUGAAGAACAUUGUUAGAAAGAAUUACCUUUUUGAUGCUUCUUGUGCGUUACUUGAAUGUAAGUGGUGGUGAUCCUUUUCACUUUCCUUCUGAAAGUGGUUGCUGAAUAUUACAAACGAAAAUUUGGUCAAAUGAGUUUUGCACUUACUAUAAACGAAAAUUCUAGGUCAGUGCCCUCUCUUUCUCCCCUCCCUUACCCUCCCCCCCCUGUCUUUCUCUGACUUACUUGCUUGUCACCAUUCAAUAUUCUUCCUAAAGAGUGCCUCUUCUCUCCGGUCUCGUGCCAACAACUUGUCAUGGAUGAAGGAACUUACUGACCUGGGAUUACUACCUUUGAAUCUAUCAUUGCUUAUAACAUCGUUCAUCAAAAUUAAAUAUGCUGGAAAUUAUAGGAGAUAGUUUAUGAUUUACUUUUUCCCCUUCUCUGCUGCUUAUGUGACGUUUAUGUCAUGAGGUUGUUUGAUGUGCAGGACUGCUUUAAAUCACUAAGAAUAGGUGGAUUAUGAUGUCAAGAUUGGUUAUGUAUUACCAAGUGUUAUUAUCUUAUGUAUUGUAGGCAGGUUAUUGCAGAAACUUACCAUGAAAGAGAAAUUGAUAAUGCAAUAUAGGGUCUAUGAUUUUGUGUAGCUCGUUGUCUCUUCUUGUUUAGUAUCCAUCAUGCAUAUUUGAAUAUAAAAUCUGUCUUUAUUGCGUUCAUCUUGUUGAACCAGCUUGAGUGAUUACUUAGGAUUUUGGAACCAGGAUACUUAAUCUGAUUGUUUUUGGCAGAACUGUAAAUAGUUUCAUUUUCUGCUGUCUGCUAUCUUCAGUUGCAGUAAUAUCAGCACAUAAUUCUUUUUUGAGUUAGACAAGAAUGCCUGAUAAGCCUCUUUCUAGCUGCAUUAAUAUUUCUAUGGACAUUUUAAUGAUAUACGAAGUAUUUGAGUUGAGCUAUACAUUGUGGCUAUGCCAUGAAGAAAAAGAGUUGAGUGGGAUCAUUUUGACAUUGUGAGCCUUAUGUUUUAUUUUCCUGUAUCCAUGUGAGAGGUGAUAAGGAUAUUCAUUCUAGGGCUAUAAUUGUAUCUGGUAUCUGUAUUCAAACGAUCGAGAAUCACUUGAAUAAUUCUCUGUUCAAUGAUGGUCAUUAUGAAAAUUUAUUUGAACUGGCUACAUUACAAGUAAAUGAAGACACAUGUAGGCAAAAGUUCGGAAACAAAUUGUGAUUUUUUGUGAGAACUGGUGUUUAUUGUCCUGGCAGUCAUUGCUUGUCUAAUAUAUUUGCAGACAGGUUGAGUGGAGAGGGUAAUUGAUUAGAAUGGUUGAGUGGAGAGGGUAAUUGAUUAGAAUGGUUGAGUGGAGAGGGGGAAUUGAGUAGAAUGAAAUUUUUUGUUUGGGGGGGGGGGUGUGGGGAGGUGGGGGGAACUUAUAUCUAUUAUUUCCGUCCACUGGAACCUGCUUUGCUUCGACUUUCGAGCUUGGUUUUGAAAUUACUUGCAAGCUUUUCUAUGAUAUUUGAUGGACCAAAACAAUGUUGCAACCCGUAUGCAGAUUAACUCAAGUAAGAUGUGGUGUUAUGAAAUGAAAUCAACUGCCCGACUCAGGUGCAAUAGAUAACUGAGUAUUGCUGACUUGUAGCCCCAGUUUCCUUUUACUUUUCUGUCAAUUUGAAGGACUACUAGUUGGUGUAAUUAGGAGUAGGAAUGGUACAUCAAGUUUCUCCUAUUGAUUCAAUGGCCACUAGCCAGUCGUGCUAAUUCGGCCAAGUCAUUUCCAUCCUUUAGAGUUGUGUAUUCACCUGUAGUCUCAGGGGUCUGAUGAUGGUCCGCUAGCAAGUCAUGAGUUCGGUCUGGUAGAUAUGACCAGAUAGUCAAAACUUUUGAUGCCCUAGCUCCUGCUCAAAACCCAAAAGGUCUAGUUUUGGUCUAGUUUCCGAUGCCUUGCUGCUAUGCCUGCUAGCCGGUACCCAUUUCCUGAUAUGGGGUGGCUUAUUUACGUUGCAGCUUGCUCGUAGCGUUGUCUUAAGUUGGCUAACUGCACUUGCCAUGUUUCAAAAGGGUCACAGUUGCAAAUUGGCGCCACCAAGUUAAGUAGUUUUUUGGUUUCAAAAGUUGACACCCUCAGGUUUCAGGAGAUCUUUAGGCUUCUGACUGUUUUAAGAGAUUAGAUUCCUGGAAAACUGAGCUGACUGUUACUCGUAGUACUUUACAGGUGUACGUACCUUUGUAAAUAUAAUGUGGGACACUGUAUUUAAUUCAUAGACCAAAGUGGUAGAUUUGAAUUAAGCCUAACCUCUCUAUCUGACUCUCAGCUUGUCUAACAUAUUGUACUUUACGUGGAAUUUUUGGGACCAAUAUGACUAAUACACGUAUAAUCUCUUCCUCUGUUGCUAAAUAUUUGUAGGUCUGAUGUGUUAUCUAAGAAUUAAUGGUUCAUUUAUUCGGUUG